GGGGUAGGGGUCGCAGCAGAGACGUCAGGGCUGCUCUCCCCUCUCAGCAAGCCAGGCCUGGAGGAAUGCGAAGAAUUGUGGGUGAGCGCCGGAGAAAGGCAUGUUGGAAAAGCCAACACACGUUUCCAGCGCGCUCUCCUCUGUCCCGAAGAUCUUCAGUACCG